GGGUUUCGUAGUCACCUGAUGCUCCUUAGUCAUGCAUUUAGCCUCUCCAGCACCCAGCAGCAAGGCAGGAGCUGUUCAUAUGGAGAAUAAUUGGCAGAAGACCAAACAGCCUUACUCUAAAACCCUAGAGGACUCGUGCCUUCGGAUCCUGAUUUAAGUGAGAAGUCCACUAUCCUGGAGCUGCUAUGCUGGAGAGACCAUGUGAAAAGAUCAUAUAGAAGUAGAAAGAUGCCCAAGAAGCCAUAUAUGCUUCUUCCUGUAGCGUUUCAGUCUGCCCACCCAGGGAUCAGACAUGUGAGAGAAAGAGUCUUAAAGAUUAUCCCAACCCCAGCCACCAUCUGACUGCAACCUCAUGAAAACCCGACACUAGAACAGUGGUAUCAGCUCAACCUUUGCAAGGGCUAGGAGACUGAGGGCAGCUGACCAGAUUUAUGUGACUGAGCCUAAUAAACUGGCCUGAGUGAGCUUCCCUGGUUGACAGUAUUCUGUGAGUAUUAUCACACACUGGAUGUCAGGAAACUAACACUGUCCACAACUCAUGGAAAGGACAACUGGGAGUUCUGUG
rnacentral:lncRNA from 1 species